rnacentral:lncRNA from 1 species
GCCCAUUUCAAAAUGCGGUCAAAACGGCGGGAAUGACCGUUCCUAGCUAGUGGUUGAAUCUUGGAAAACUUUUGGUGUUUCUCUGAUUAAAUAGAUACUUAUGUACCUAGAAAUUAUUUUUGUAAAAAAUAAAUAGCAAACUAUGAGGCAGCUGUAGUUCAAAUUUGACCCGCUUCCAACUGAAUCGACAAAUUUUUUUCUUUUUCAUGAGAGGUGGAUCAAAACUUUUUACACCCAACCAUUUUGUCAAUUGUGCAUUAAAUAUGUCCUAGUAUUUUAGAAAAUUUAUUUGGUCCAAUUUUGCAACAAUUAUUUGGUAGUUCUUUCACAAAAAAACCUCCUUUCGGGCACUCGGAAAAUGAAAAAUGGUUUUUUCGUCCAAAGAAAAUGAAAACUUCCUUAGGCAACAUUGUUUGCCAUUCCAAUAUGCACCCUUGUGCACAAUAUGAGAUCAUUUGAACAAACUAUGCCACGAAUGUGGCCAUAAGAUUGAUCAUUUGGCUUGAAAGCCAUGAAUCUUCAGAGAUGAUAGCUCAUUUUUGAGAACACUUUUUUAAAAUAAUUGCCGUAUUACAAUUUGUUAUUUUUCUUGGGAACUUGGCCACAUAUAAUGACACAAUGCGAAGGUUUCCCAAUUUUUUGAUUUUUUUGAAUUUUUUAUGCCCAUUUCAAAAUGCGGUCAAAACGGCGGGCUUGGCCGUUCCUAGCUAGUGGUUGAAUCUUGGAAAUUUUUUGGUGUUUCUCUGAUUAAAUAGAUACUUAUGUACCUAGAAAUGAUUUUUGUAAAAAAUAAAUAGCAAACCAUGAGGCAGCUGCAGUUCAAAUUUGACCCGCUUCCAACUGAAUCGGCGGGAAUUUGUCUUUUUCACGAGAGGUGGAUCAAAACUUUUU